CUUCGCUUUUUUCGAUUUGCACAGACAGCUGUUGAACGCUGAUGCUACACAAACGGUUACAAUUGUUUACUUGAGCAAAAAAUGCCAUCAGACUGACUCCAUCCUCAAAAUGCAGUCAUCUCGACGGGGGGAGGCAUCAUACUAGGGGAGCCUUGCCAGGGGCCAGACCAUAACCCUGAGGUGACACAGGGUAGACGCGCAAAACCACCGGCGCCAGGGCGUUUCCGCAGGGUUUCCCAAGAGUCAAACGCAGCGGCUCACGGUUUGCCACGUCCCCCAGGAGAAUGGUAGGCACAGAGAGAGAGGAAACGUGGAGGGGGCACAAACCGCAAGGUGAAGAAAACGAACAAACACCGAGUUGAUACGGAUAGUCCCCGUUCCCCUGAGGGCCGACCCUGCGACUCCCGAUGGGAGUCCAGUUGCGCCGGGCGUCCCUGGGCCUCCCAGCGUCUUUCCCGGAGGUUAGUCUCCCCACGGCCGCAAGUGCGCUCGGUUCCGCUUUCCGGCCCCAGCCUCCCGGGCGCCCUCGCGCGGCUGCCAACGCAGGUCUCCGGCCGGGCGCGCUGACGUCAUCGUGCGUCGGCGUGAGCCCGGAUGGGGCGGCGGGCUUCGGGAGCGCCGGAGCUGAUCCGAGCCGAGGCGGCCGUAUCUCCUUGUCGGUACCGCCGCUUCCCGGCUCUGGGGAGGCCUCUAGGCUGCCGCGCAGCUUCCGUGUUUGCUGCGCCCGCACUGCGAUUUACAGCCCUGAAGAAUCCUCCUCUCCCUAUUUUCCCCUUGCAGUAAUAAAUCCCAUUUUGGAGAUCUCGAAGCUUUAUAAAGGGAUAUAGUUUGAAUUCUAUGGAGUGUAAUUUUGUGUAUGAAUUAUAUUUUUAAAACAUUGAAGAGUUUUCAGAAAGAAGGCUAGUAGAGUUGAUUACUUAUACGUUAUGCUAAGCAGUACUUUUUUGGUAAUACAGUAUUUUGUUAGGCGUUUCUGAUAACACUAGAAAGGACAAGUUGUGUCUUGUGAUAAAUUGAUUAAUGUUUACAGCAUGACUGAUAAUUAUAGCUGAAUAGUCCUUAAAUGAUGAACAGGUUAUUUAGUUUUUAAAUGCAGUGUGAAAAGUGUGCUGUGGAAAUUUUAUGGCUAACUAAUUAAGUUUAUGGAGAAAAUACCUUCAGUUGAUCAAGAAUAAUAAAGUGGUAUACAAAGUUAGGAAGAAAGUCA
rnacentral:lncRNA from 1 species